CGGGGCGUAGCGCAGAUGGAAGCGCGUUGGUUUCGGGAACCAAAGGUCGCUGGUUCAAAUCCAGUCGUCCCGACCA
rnacentral:tRNA from 1 species